UACGGAGGUGGCAAGCGUUGUCCGGAUUUAUUGGGUUUAAAGGGUGCGUAGGCGGCCCUGUAAGUCAGUUGGUGAAAAUACUGCAAGCUUCAACUGUAGCAUUGCCAUUGAUACUGUAGGGCUUGAGUACAGAUGAGGUAGGCGGGAAUUGAUGGUGUAGCGGUGAAAUGCAUAGAUACCAUCAAGAACACCGAUUGCGAAGG
rnacentral:rRNA from 1 species